rnacentral:rRNA from 1 species
AUGGACUUCAUCGAAGCUCUACCAAAAUCUGAGGGCUAUACAGUGAUCUUAGUGGUGGUUGAUAGACUGACCAAGUAUGCUCAUUUUAUCCCCUUGAAACAUCCUUUCUCUGCUCCAGUGGUAGCGAAAGCAUUCCUACAUACUGUGGUCAAAUUGCAUGGACCACCCCAUACUAUAGUUUCCGAUAGGGACAAGAUCUUUACCAGUCACUUUUGGAAGGAUUUGUUCAAGCUUUGGGAUACUAAAUUGCUCAUGAGUACUGCCUAUCAUCCUCAAACAGAUGGGCAGAGUGAAAGAGUGAAUCAGUGUUUGGAGAUGUUUCUCAGAUGA